UCGCCGAUCAGCUCCUCCACCCUCCGCUCAAGCUCGUCUAUCCGCUGCCGCUGUGUUUGGAUCAGACUCUGCUGGUUCUGCACGAUGGUGAUGGAUGCUCCUCUCUUCUUCUCUCCUGCCGCACGCUCACUGCAAGCGAGCUGGAUGGCUCUGUUCCCGACUGUUGAAGCUGUGAAGAGGACAGCACUGAUGAUGCUGCCGCCGCGGAUUGGGAGAAGCGAGCGGUGGAGGAGGGGUCCGGGUAUCGAGCUCAAUGUGAUGUCAACACGUCCAGCCAAGAGGUUGACCGAAGCACUGUGGAGCGACCAGUGAUGCUGGAAUAAAGAUGGGUACCCCAGCUGUCCAGAAGACCGACUGCAUCAAAUCCUCUCACAUGAAGCAUGGAAAUGUAAUGUAAGCACAUUUAUGUUAGAUAGAAUGCCCAGUGGGAGCUGUGUGGACUUUCGGCCUUGGAAACCCCUGCAGGUUUUUUUUUUAUUGAUUUUUCUGUUCUCCUGGCCAUCUAACCUUAUCACCAGACUUAUCUUUAGAGACUUAAAUUAUGAUCUUUAUAUAUAAUAUGCUACCGUGGCUGUUCAUUUGUCUCUACAUGAUUUUAAAUCACCUGUAGUUCGCAAACCGUUUGAACUAUUGACCUGAAAUUUGGUACUCAUAUACUACGUGAUCACUACUGUCCGCUGUCGGGGUGAUAAUUUAACUCCAAGGUUAUUCCUCUUUUUAUUUUAUUGUAGAAUCAACUCUAGGCAGCACACAGCAGGGCAACUGUGCGGCACAUGCAUACGGGCACCGUUCUCAUUCCCUACCACCUUCACCGUCACUUCCCCUACAUCU